rnacentral:misc_RNA from 1 species
UCCGGUUUGUCACCGGCAGUCUCCUUAGAGUUCCCGCCAUUACGCGCUGGCAACUAAGGACAAGGGUUGCGCUCGUUGCGGGACUUAACCCAACAUCUCACGACACGAGCUGACGACAGCCAUGCAGCACCUGUCUCACGGUUCCCGAAGGCACCCGCCCAUCUCUGAAGGAUUCCGUGGAUGUCAAGGCCAGGUAAGGUUCUUCGCGUUGCAUCGAAUUAAACCACAUGCUCCACCGCUUGUGCAGGCCCCCGUCAAUUUCUUUGAGUUUUAGCCUUGCGGCCGUACUCCCCAGGCAGAGCACUUAAUGCGUUAGCUGCGGCACCGGAGGGGUCGAUACCCCCGACACCUAGUGCUCACCGUUUACGGCGUGGACUAC